rnacentral:tRNA from 1 species
UCUCCCGUGGCGCAAUUGGCUAGCGCGUCUGACUGUUACGGGAGCACUGCCGGUGCUCCCACUGCGAUCAGGAGGUUGACAGUUCAAGCCUGUCCGGGGGAG